rnacentral:piRNA from 1 species
CAGGAGGGUCCGUGUGAGCUGAAGGCCAGA